rnacentral:misc_RNA from 1 species
UUUCCGUAGGUGAACCUGCGGAAGGAUCAUUCAUAAUAAGUGUUUUAUGGCACUUUUUUAAAUCCAUAUCCACCUUGUGUGCAAUGUCAGGGUUGGUCUCUUUUGAUCAGCCCCAAACAUCAACUAUUAUCUCAACUCUUUGUCUGAAGAAUAUUAUGAAUAAAACAAUUCAAAAUACAACUUUCAACAACGGAUCUCUUGGCUCUC